GGAUGUGAGGGCGAUCUGGCUGCGACCUCUGUUACCCCAUUGAUCACCAGGGUUGAUUCGGAUGAUCUGGCUGGCUAGGCGGGUGUCCCCUUCCUCCCUCAAUGAUCCAUGUGCAACCCACCCGAAGCUGUGCACUUGGUUGAAGAGGACGACCAUCCCCGAUAGAGGAGGACUGUUCCUUGGUCAAGGGUAUACGAGUAGCUAUGCUCCCCUGCUAGAACCUCCAAACAAGCUCUCAAGAAUAAAGACUUGAGUGUAUAUUUUACACAAUAACCUUUUAUU
rnacentral:snRNA from 1 species